rnacentral:rRNA from 2 species
UUGACCUCGGAUCAGGUAGGGAUACCCGCUGAACUUAAGCAUAUCAAUAAGCGGAGGAAAAGAAACCAACCGGGAUUGCCCUAGUAACGGCGAGUGAAGCGGCAAGAGCUCAAAUUUGAAAGCUGGCUCCUUCGGGGUCCGCAUUGUAAUUUGCAGAGGAUGCUUCGGGAGCGGUCCCCAUCUAAGUGCCCUGGAACGGGCCGUCAUAGAGGGUGAGAAUCCCGUCUGGGAUGGGGUGCCCGCGCCCGUGUGAAGCUCCUUCGACGAGUCGAGUUGUUUGGGAAUGCAGCUCUAAUUGGGUGGUAAAUUUCAUCUAAAGCUAAAUAUUGGCCGGAGACCGAUAGCGCACAAGUAGAGUGAUCGAAAGAUGAAAAGCACUUUGAAAAGAGAGUUAAACAGCACGUGAAAUUGUUGAAAGGGAAGCGCUUGCGAUCAGACUCGCCCGCGGGGUUCAGCCGGCAUUCGUGCCGGUGUACUUCCCCGUGGGCGGGCCAGCGUCGGUUUGGGCGGCCGGUCAAAGGCCCCUGGAAUGUAACGCCUCUCGGGGCGUCUUAUAGCCAGGGGUGCCAUGCGGCCUGCCCGGACCGAGGAACGCGCUUCGGCUCGGACGC